rnacentral:rRNA from 1 species
GAUGAACGCUGGCGGCGUGCCUAAUACAUGCCAGUCGAGCGAACAGACGAGGAGCUUGCUCCUCUGACGUUAGCGGCGGACGGGUGAGUAACACGUGGAUAACCUACCUAUAAGACUGGGAUAACUUCGGGAAACCGGAGCUAAUACCGGAUAAUAUAUUGAACCGCAUGGUUCAAUAGUGAAAGACGGUUUUGCUGUCACUUAUAGAUGGAUCCGCGCCGCAUUAGCUAGUUGGUAAGGUAACGGCUUACCAAGGCAACGAUGCGUAGCCGACCUGAGAGGGUGAUCGGCCACACUGGAACUGAGACACGGUCCAGACUCCUACGGGAGGCAGCAGUAGGGAAUCUUCCGCAAUGGGCGAAAGCCUGACGGAGCAACGCCGCGUGAGUGAUGAAGGUCUUCGGAUCGUAAAACUCUGUUAUUAGGGAAGAACAAAUGUGUAAGUAACUAUGCACGUCUUGACGGUACCUAAUCGGAAAGCCACGGCUAACUACGUG